AACAGACCAUGUUAAGCACUCCUGAAAUAAAGGAUAAAACUGAUUGGCCCCUGUUCUAAUGUCUUUGGUUGGGGCGACCGCGGGGAAACAAAAAACCCCCAUGUGGACCGGGAGCACACUACUCCUACAACCCAGAGUUACAACUCCAAGCAACAGAAUUUCUGACCAAUAAGAUCCGGCAUCUAGCCGAUCAACGGACCGAGUUACCCUAGGGAUAACAGCGCAAUCCUCUUUUAGAGCCCAUAUCGACAAGAGGGCUUACGACCUCGAUGUUGGAUCAGGACAUCCUAAUGGUGCAGCCGCUAUUAAGGGUUCGUUUGUUCAACGAUUAAAGUCCUACGUGAUCUGAG
rnacentral:rRNA from 1 species